UUGUAAAGCACUUUAGGUGGGGAAGAAAGGUAGUGAGAGAAUAACUCAUUGCUAUGACGGUACCCGCAGAAUAAGCACCGGCUAACUCUGUGCCAGCAGCCGCGGUAAUACAGAGGGUGCAAGCGUUAAUCAGAAUGACUGGGAGUAAAGGGGGUGUAGGUGGUUGACUAGGUUUGAUGUGAAAUCCCCGGAAUUAACCGGGGUAAUGCGUGGAAAACGGGUCGACUUGAGUGAGAUAGAGGGUUGUAGAAUUUCCGGUGUUGCGGUGAAAUGCGUAGAUAUGGGAAAGAAACGUCGAUGGACGAAGGCGACAACGGGGAUCUUCACGGACACUGAGGCGCGAAGGCGUGGGGAGCAAACGGGAUUAGACACCCUGGUAGUCCACGCAGUAACCGAUCAUAACUGGCUGUAAUGUGUAGGGAGCAAUCUAUGCAUGACAGUAGCGAAGCUAACGCGUUAAGUU
rnacentral:rRNA from 1 species